rnacentral:rRNA from 1 species
GACGAACGCUGGCGGCGUGGAUUAGGCAUGCAAGUCGAACGGUAUCAUCCUUUCGGGGGUGAGAGAGUGGCGAACUGGUGAGUAACACGUAGGUUAUCUACCCUCAAGACGGGGACAACCCAGGGAAACUUGGGCUAAUACCGGAUGUGAGCAACUUUUAGUUGUUUGAAAGGUGGCGUAAGCUGUCGCUUGGGGAUGAGCCUGCGUCCUAUUAGUUAGUUGGUGAGGUAACGGCUCACCUAGGCAAUGAUAGGUAGGCGGCCUUAACGGGUGGUCGCCCACACUGGGAUUGAGAUACGGCCCAGACUCCUACGGGAGGCAGCAGUCGAGAAUAGUCUACAAUGGUCGGAAGACUGAUAGUGCGACGCCGCGUGAACGAUGAAUCCCUUCGGGGUGUAAAGUUCUUUUAUAUGUGAGCAGUGCUUCUUAUAUUAACAGUAUGGGGAGAGAGAUAUUAGCAUAUGAAUAAGCAACGGCUAACUCCGUGCCAGCAGCCGCGGUAAACA